rnacentral:rRNA from 1 species
UAAGCGACUAAGCGUACACGGUGGAUGCCCUGGCAGUCAGAGGCGAUGAAGGACGUGCUAAUCUGCGAUAAGCGUCGGUAAGGUGAUAUGAACCGUUAUAACCGGCGAUUUCCGAAUGGGGAAACCCAGUGUGUUUCGACACACUAUCAUUAACUGAAUCCAUAGGUUAAUGAGGCGAACCGGGGGAACUGAAACAUCUAAGUACCCCGAGGAAAAGAAAUCAACCGAGAUUCCCCCAGUAGCGGCGAGCGAACGGGGAGCAGCCCAGAGCCUGAAUCAGUGUGUGUGUUAGUGGAAGCGUCUGGAAAGGCGCGCGAUACAGGGUGACAGCCCCGUACACAAAAAUGCACAUGCUGUGAGCUCGAUGAGUAGGGCGGGACACGUGGUAUCCUGUCUGAAUAUGGGGGGACCAUCCUCCAAGGCUAAAUACUCCUGACUGACCGAUAGUGAACCAGUACCGUGAGGGAAAGGCGAAAAGAACCCCGGCGAGGGGAGUGAAAAAGAACCUGAAACCGUGUACGUACAAGCAGUGGGAGCACGCUUAGGCGUGUGACUGCGUACCUUUUGUAUAAUGGGUCAGCGACUUAUAUUCUGUAGCAAGGUUAACCGAAUAGGGGAGCCGAAGGGAAACCGAGUCUUAACUGGGCGUUAAGUUGCAGGGUAUAGACCCGAAACCCGGUGAUCUAGCCAUGGGCAGGUUGAAGGUUGGGUAACACUAACUGGAGGACCGAACCGACUAAUGUUGAAAAAUUAGCGGAUGACUUGUGGCUGGGGGUGAAAGGCCAAUCAAACCGGGAGAUAGCUGGUUCUCCCCGAAAGCUAUUUAGGUAGCGCCUCGUGAAUUCAUCUCCGGGGGUAGAGCACUGUUUCGGCAAGGGGGUCAUCCCGACUUACCAACCCGAUGCAAACUGCGAAUACCGGAGAAUGUUAUCACGGGAGACACACGGCGGGUGCUAACGUCCGUCGUGAAGAGGGAAACAACCCAGACCGCCAGCUAAGGUCCCAAAGUCAUGGUUAAGUGGGAAACGAUGUGGGAAGGCCCAGACAGCCAGGAUGUUGGCUUAGAAGCAGCCAUCAUUUAAAGAAAGCGUAAUAGCUCACUGGUCGAGUCGGCCUGCGCGGAAGAUGUAACGGGGCUAAACCAUGCACCGAAGCUGCGGCAGCGACGCUUAUGCGUUGUUGGGUAGGGGAGCGUUCUGUAAGCCUGCGAAGGUGUGCUGUGAGGCAUGCUGGAGGUAUCAGAAGUGCGAAUGCUGACAUAAGUAACGAUAAAGCGGGUGAAAAGCCCGCUCGCCGGAAGACCAAGGGUUCCUGUCCAACGUUAAUCGGGGCAGGGUGAGUCGACCCCUAAGGCGAGGCCGAAAGGCGUAGUCGAUGGGAAACAGGUUAAUAUUCCUGUACUUGGUGUUACUGCGAAGGGGGGACGGAGAAGGCUAUGUUGGCCGGGCGACGGUUGUCCCGGUUUAAGCGUGUAGGCUGGUUUUCCAGGCAAAUCCGGAAAAUCAAGGCUGAGGCGUGAUGACGAGGCACUACGGUGCUGAAGCAACAAAUGCCCUGCUUCCAGGAAAAGCCUCUAAGCAUCAGGUAACAUCAAAUCGUACCCCAAACCGACACAGGUGGUCAGGUAGAGAAUACCAAGGCGCUUGAGAGAACUCGGGUGAAGGAACUAGGCAAAAUGGUGCCGUAACUUCGGGAGAAGGCACGCUGAUAUGUAGGUGAGGUCCCUCGCGGAUGGAGCUGAAAUCAGUCGAAGAUACCAGCUGGCUGCAACUGUUUAUUAAAAACACAGCACUGUGCAAACACGAAAGUGGACGUAUACGGUGUGACGCCUGCCCGGUGCCGGAAGGUUAAUUGAUGGGGUUAGCGCAAGCGAAGCUCUUGAUCGAAGCCCCGGUAAACGGCGGCCGUAACUAUAACGGUCCUAAGGUAGCGAAAUUCCUUGUCGGGUAAGUUCCGACCUGCACGAAUGGCGUAAUGAUGGCCAGGCUGUCUCCACCCGAGACUCAGUGAAAUUGAACUCGCUGUGAAGAUGCAGUGUACCCGCGGCAAGACGGAAAGACCCCGUGAACCUUUACUAUAGCUUGACACUGAACAUUGAGCCUUGAUGUGUAGGAUAGGUGGGAGGCUUAGAAGUGUGGACGCCAGUCUGCAUGGAGCCGACCUUGAAAUACCACCCUUUAAUGUUUGAUGUUCUAACGUUGACCCGUAAUCCGGGUUGCGGACAGUGUCUGGUGGGUAGUUUGACUGGGGCGGUCUCCUCCUAAAGAGUAACGGAGGAGCACGAAGGUUGGCUAAUCCUGGUCGGACAUCAGGAGGUUAGUGCAAUGGCAUAAGCCAGCUUGACUGCGAGCGUGACGGCGCGAGCAGGUGCGAAAGCAGGUCAUAGUGAUCCGGUGGUUCUGAAUGGAAGGGCCAUCGCUCAACGGAUAAAAGGUACUCCGGGGAUAACAGGCUGAUACCGCCCAAGAGUUCAUAUCGACGGCGGUGUUUGGCACCUCGAUGUCGGCUCAUCACAUCCUGGGGCUGAAGUAGGUCCCAAGGGUAUGGCUGUUCGCCAUUUAAAGUGGUACGCGAGCUGGGUUUAGAACGUCGUGAGACAGUUCGGUCCCUAUCUGCCGUGGGCGCUGGAGAACUGAGGGGGGCUGCUCCUAGUACGAGAGGACCGGAGUGGACGCAUCACUGGUGUUCGGGUUGUCAUGCCAAUGGCACUGCCCGGUAGCUAAAUGCGGAAGAGAUAAGUGCUGAAAGCAUCUAAGCACGAAACUUGCCCCGAGAUGAGUUCUCCCUGACUCCUUGAGAGUCCUGAAGGAACGUUGAAGACGACGACGUUGAUAGGCCGGGUGUGUAAGCGCAGCGAUGCGUUGAGCUAACCGGUACUAAUGAACCGUGAGGCUUAACCU